GGAGCGGCGGUUGGCGACCCCUCGGUUUAGGGAUGGGGCGGGGGUUGGUCAAGGGGGAGGGUGGCGUGGGGGUGGCGAGAUGGCAGCCGCGGUUGCGAGCCGGGGAGGGGGAAGAAAAAGGCGGGAGAUGGCGGCGGAGGGCGCUCCCUCAGGCGGCUCCCGCCCGCACCGAAUCUGCAGAAACGAGAUCUAAUGGGAACAAUACGACGGUAUCGGUGAUUUCAUGGCAUUCUGCAGCUUAAGGAACAAAAAGUUUUACAAGAAAUAAAAAAAAGUUUACAAGUAAUCGCUAUUACAUAAGCUAAUGUAUCACAAUCACUAUUUCUGUAAGUUGCAAUAACAUUUUUCUUCUUUGCAAGCUUUCGUUGCCCAUGUUUUAAACACUGCAAUUCCACAGAUCCGGAGCAAAGCAAAAACGUUCCCUGGAGAUGUGUAUCAAACGAGGCAUAGAUGUCUGCAGGUCUGCAGUAAUUUCAUUUUUGUCAGCUGGUGUUGAUUUGACUCUGCCAAUCCCUGAGAAAGUCUCUCGUGGAUUAAAACAGAAAUUAGCCGAAGUAUGGGGCUCUGCAGAUUCCUCUUAAAUAUAUUUGAUCCAGCCCUGCAUGUUACAGGGGACUGCAUAGUCCUGAUUCCCCAAAUGCAAGGAAUUGGGUGUGCAAGUUGCUGUUUCACCAAGAACUGUGCUCUUUCUUUUGAGCUCGGUGCUUCCUUGCUGCCUUUUCUGGUCUCUCUACUAAUUUUUUUCAGGCAUGAAGCUGUCACAGGACAGCCAGGAAAAUUCCCAUAUUUUAUGAUCUCUGAUGUUUCACCUUUGUUUUCAGCAAUAGCAGUCGUUUCACUUAUUAUAUACAGAAGCUCACUGUCUUAGACUUCAGUGCGACAAGGAAAUAACCAAUGCCCUUUGUUUAGCUGAAGCAAUUACAUUAUCUUUCCAUUGUGGAAUAGUCAGAAGAAAGUAAUGGUGAUGUUGUCACCUAAGUAUACCUUCAAGUAUUUGCUCAUACGUGCCAGGAGCCUAGCUCAAUUAUGCCCUGAUAUACACAUGAACAACUUACCAGGUUUACAGGGGGAAAAAUAGAGCAGAUCUUUUGCUGGCAUUAAUUUUGCUAUUUAAGACCUACCAUUCUAGACUAGUACUGGAAGGUGGGUGGAGCAUUGUCUUUUUAAUUAAACUUGCUACAGGAAAAAAGAAACAGAAUAAUCUUACCCUAUUCUUUUUUAUGUGGUUGGGAAUUUUAUGGAUCAGCACUGGACUUCAUCUGAAGAGCUGGAAAGGCUAAAUUAAUUAUUUCAGAGAACAAUAUCAAAUCUUUCUUAGACUUCAAUGUAAAUGACAAUAAUUAGAUAUAAAUGGUUUUCACAGUUGCUCAUUAAGUUAGGUGGAGAUGGGAAAGCUGGCAAAAAUAGUGUGAACAAAUUCAAAAAAGGAAUAUGGAUGGAAAAGAAAAGGUUCACCUUGGAAAUCUUGGUAUAGCCACAGGAAAACAUUCAGCAAAAGGAAGAAAUCUGCAGUAUUGACCUGUAGGAGUGAAAGCAGACAGUAAAUUAUAUGUGGUCUUACAGAGCAGACAUAUCAGAAAGCCCACAGAUGCCCCUCCAAGUGAAGUGAAUCACUGAGGAAGAAACUAACAGAUUUUUCUCUUCCGUUCCUUUGGCAUGACUACUCUUUGCCUACUACUUAACUAAGUCAUGCCUGGGAUAUUUUGGGAAAUCUUCCUAUUAGAAAAUUACACUCAAGGGGAAUUUAAAGAAGAGCAAUUAAAAUAAUUAAAGAGAUUGAGGGAUUGAUUUACGAGGGAUGAUCAAAAGAGCUGGAAUAUUAAAACAUGUUUCACCAAUACUGUGGAUUUUGGAUGACAUCAUAGUGUUAAGAUUAGCACAGGCUAUAUGAAAAGAGAUUAUUCAGUAUAGGAUUACAUGCAUAUUUUGAAGCCAGUAGAGAUUGCUAAAGUGGAUGCAACAGGUAAAAAAAGAUUCACGUUUUUGCACCAGUAUUUGCCAGUUAUAGAGUGCCUUGUUCUGAAAUGCAGUGACAGAGGUCCUACUCUCCACGAGGAGAUUUGACAGAUUAGGUAAGACAUACAGGCUGGAGGGGACAAUCUCACCCAGAGGGUGGUGACACACUGGAACAGGCUGCCCAAGGAGGCUGUGGAUGCCCCAUCCCUGGAGGCAUUCAAGGCCAGGCUGGAUGUGGCUCUGGGCAGCCUGGUCUGGUGGUUGGCGACCCUGCACAUAGCAGGGGGGUUGAAACUCGAUGAUCAUUGUGGUCCUUCUCAACCCAGGCCAUUCUAUGAUUCUAUGAAAAAGUCAGGAUAAAGGCCUGUAAUUGUAUGCAACAACCUGCAGUAGAAGUACAUUUUAGCCUGCAUCACCUUUUUUUUCCAUACGCAUCCAUAGCCAGCUGAAAUACCAAACAUAACAGUAUUUUUAAUCACAGUAUUUUAACCGCAGUUCAUCUUCUCUGACUGCAUCCAUCUAUAUUAACUGAUCUGUAAAUAUUUCACCUACAG
rnacentral:lncRNA from 1 species